rnacentral:rRNA from 1 species
UGGGGAAUAUUGCACAAUGGGCGCAAGCCUGAUGCAGCGACGCCGCGUGGGGGAUGACGGCUUUCGGGUUGUAAACUCCUUUCGCCAGGGACGAAGCGUUUUGUGACGGUACCUGGAGAAGAAGCACCGGCUUAACUACGUGCCAGCAAGCCGCGGUAAUACGUAGGGUGCAAGCGUUGUCCGGAAUUACUGGGCGUAAAGAGCUCGUAGGUGGUCUGUCACGUCGUCUGUGAAAUUCCACAGCUUAACUGUGGGCGUGCAGGCGAUACGGGCUGACUUGAGUACUGUAGGGGUAACUGGAAUUCCUGGUGUAGCGGUGAAAUGCGCAGAUAUCAGGAGGAACACCGAUGGCGAAGGCAGGUUACUGGGCAGUUACUGACGCUGAGGAGCGAAAGCAUGGGUAGCAAACAGGAUUAGAUACCCUGGUAGUCCAUGCCGUAAACGGUGGGCGCUAGGUGUAGGGGCCUUUUGGGGUUUAUGUGCCGUAGCUAACGCAUUAAGCGCCCCGCCUGGGGCNNUUNNNGCAAGGCUA